rnacentral:rRNA from 1 species
GUCAGCUCGUGUCGUGAGAUGUUGGGUUAAGUCCCGCAACGAGCGCAACCCUUAUCUUUAGUUGCCAGCAUUCAGUUGGGCACUCUAGAGAGACUGCCGUCGACAAGACGGAGGAAGGCGGGGAUGACGUCAAAUCAUCAUGCCCCUUAUGACCUGGGCUACACACGUGCUACAAUGGUUGGUACAACGGGAUGCUACCUCGCGAGAGGACGCCAAUCUCUGAAAACCAAUCUCAGUUCGGAUUGUAGGCUGCAACUCGCCUACAUGAAGUCGGAAUCGCUAGUAAUCGCGGAUCAGCAUGCCGCGGU